UACGGAGGGGCUAGCGUUGUUCGGAAUUACUGGGCGUAAAGAGCUCGUAGGUGGUUUGUCGCGUUGUUCGUGAAAUCUCACGGCUUAACUGUGAGCGUGCGGGCGAUACGGGCAGACUAGAGUACUGCAGGGGAGACUGGAAUUCCUGGUGUAGCGGUGGAAUGCGCAGAUAUCAGGAGGAACACCGGUGGCGAAGGCGGGUCUCUGGGCAGUAACUGACGCUGAGGAGCGAAAGCGUGGGGAGCGAACAGG
rnacentral:rRNA from 1 species